rnacentral:rRNA from 1 species
GCUCAGAACGAACGCUGGCGGCAGGCCUAACACAUGCAAGUCGUGCGCGCCUUCGGGUGAGCGGCGGACGGGUGAGUAACGCGUGGGAACGUGCCCUUCAGUUGAGGAUAGCCCCGGGAAACUGGGAGUAAUACUCGAUACGCCCUUAGGGGGAAUGAAGGAUCGGCCCGCGUUAGAUUAGGUAGUUGGUGAGGUAACGGCUCACCAAGCCUACGAUCUAUAGCUGGUUUUAGAGGAUGAUCAGCCACACUGGGACUGAGACACGGCCCAGACUCCUACGGGAGGCAGCAGUGAGGAAUCUUAGACAAUGGGCGCAAGCCUGAUCUAGCCAUGCCGCGUGAGUGAUGAAGGCCUUAGGGUCGUAAAGCUCUUUCGCCUGUGAUGAUAAUGACAGUAGCAGGUAAAGAAACCCCGGCUAACUCCGUGCCAGCAGCCGCGGUAAUACGGAGGGGGUUAGCGUUGUUCGGAAUUACUGGGCGUAAAGCGCACGUAGGCGGACUGGAAAGUUGGGGGUGAAAUCCCGGGGCUCAACCCCGGAACUGCCUCCAAAACUAUCAGUCUAGAGUUCGAGAGAGGUGAGUGGAAUUCCGAGUGUAGAGGUGAAAUUCGUAGAUAUUCGGAGGAACACCAGUGGCGAAGGCGGCUCACUGGCUCGAUACUGACGCUGAGGUGCGAAAGUGUGGGGAGCAAACAGGAUUAGAUACCCUGGUAGUCCACACCGUAAACGAUGA